rnacentral:rRNA from 1 species
UACGGAGGGAGCUAGCGUUGUUCGGAAUUACUGGGCGUAAAGCGCACGUAGGCGGCUAUUCAAGUCGGGGGUGAAAGCCCGGGGCUCAACCCCGGAACUGCCCUCGAAACUAGGUAGCUAGAAUCUUGGAGAGGCGAGUGGAAUUCCGAGUGUAGAGGUGAAAUUCGUAGAUAUUCGGAAGAACACCAGUGGCGAAGGCGGCAUCCUGGACCGAGAUUGACGCUGAGGCGCGAAAGCUAGGGGAGCAAACGGG